UUCAGGUUGUGAAGUUGUGAAGAUUUGAAUGGCCUUGCACUUGAGUGACUUUUUUGGGUGAUUUUUGGGUAUAAAUUUUGGGUACUUUGAGGUUUAGAGCACAGUUUACCUUUAGCCACAGUCUAAACAACAACUAAACACUCACCAUGAAAUUUUUGAUUGCUUUCGCCGCCAUCUUGGCCGUUUCCGCUGCUGUGUAUGUAGCCCCAGUUGCUCAUUAUUCUGCUGCCGCCUACACUCCUUAUACUUUUGGAGCUCAUCAUUUGUAUAAGCGUGGAAUCUACGCCGCCCCAGUUGCUGCCUAUUCCCAUGCCUAUGCUACUCCAUAUGCUUUUGGUGCCCAUCAUUUGUACAAACGUGGAAUCUACGCUGCUCCUGUUGCUGCCUACCAUGGUGCCUAUGCUACCCCAUACGCCUUCGGAGCUCACCAUCUGUAUAAACGUGGAAUCUAUGCUGCCCCAGUCGCUGCCUACUCCCACGCUUACGCCACCCCAUAUGCCUUCGGUGCCCAUCACUUGUACAAACGUGGAAUCUACGCCGCUCCUCUUGCUUACACCGGAUACUCCCACGCCGCCUAUACCCCAUACACCGGCUAUUAUUGAGCGAAAAUUGAAACUGGAAUGAUCUAUUAGUUACCUUUUACAAUGUCAAUGUAAAUAAGAUGAUUACGAAAAAUAAACAUAAAAUUUUACGAACAGAA